rnacentral:rRNA from 1 species
GGAAUCUUCGGCAAUGGGGGCGAACCCUGACCGAGCAACGCCGCGUGAGUGAAGAAGGUUUUCGGAUCGUAAAGCUCUGUUGUAAGAGAAGAACGUGUGUGAGAGUGGAAAGUUCACACAGUGACGGUAACUUACCAGAAAGGGACGGCUAACUACGUGCCAA